UAAAAGGGUCGGUUGGCUAAUUAUGCCGCACUCGCCCUCGUCCGGUGAGUGCCGUAUGGCAAUCAAGACAUAUGGCCGACAUAAUUUGUGGAAACUUAUAGGGUUGGCUCGCACGGCCGACCCUCUUA